rnacentral:rRNA from 1 species
AACGAACGCUGGCGGCAGGCCUAACACAUGCAAGUCGAGCGAGGACUUCGGUCCUAGCACGGACGGGUGAGUAACGCGUGGGAACGUGCCCCUUGGUACGGAAUAGCCCUGGGAAACUGGGAGUAAUACCGGAUGAGCUCUACGGAGGCAAGAUUUAUCGCCAAGGGAUCGGCCCGCGUUUGAUUAGGUAGUUGGUGGGGUAAUGGCCUACCAAGCCGACGAUCCAUAGCUGGUUUGAGAGGAUGAUCAGCCACACUGGGACUGAGACACGGCCCAGACUCCUACGGGAGGCAGCAGUGGGGAAUCUUAGACAAUGGGCGCAAGCCUGAUCUAGCCAUGCCGCGUGAGCGAUGAAGGCCUUAGGGUUGUAAAGCUCUUUCAGCUGGGAAGAUAAUGACUGUACCAGCAGAAGAAGCCCCGGCUAACUCCGUGCCAGCCGCCGCCGUAAGAC